rnacentral:ncRNA from 1 species
CAUCUAAACUGUAAAACUCUAGCUGAUGUAAAAUAAACUACGAAAGUGGCUUUAAAGCUUCUGAACACACAAUAGCCAGGACCCAAACUGGGAUUAGACACCCUACUAUGCUUGGCCCUAAACCUCAGUAGUUAGAUAACAAAACUACUCGCCAGAAUACUACAAGCUAUAGCUUAAAACUCAAAGGACUUGACGGUGCUUUACACCCCCUAGAGGAGCCUGUUCCGUAAUCGAUAAACCCCGAUCCACCCCACCCUCUCUUGCUCAGCCUAUAUACCGCCAUCUUCAGCAAACCCUAAUGAGGGUCACAAAGUGAGCGCAAAUGCCAUUGCCGCAAACACGUUAGGUCAAGGUGUAGCCUAUGAGACGGUAAAAAAUGGGCUACAUUUUCUACCUCAGAAAAUUCCACGAAAACCCUUAUGAAAUUUAAGGGUCCAAGGAGGAUUUAGCAGUAAAUUAAGAAUAGAGUGCUUAAUUGAACCAGGCCAUAAAGCGCGCACACACCGCCCGUCACUCCUCUCAAAUAUAUUUAAGGAACAUCUUAACUAAACGCCCUAAUAUUUAUAUAGAGAGGAUAAGUCGUAACAUGGUAAGCGUACUGGAAGGUGCGCUUGGAUAAAUCAAGGU